rnacentral:rRNA from 1 species
GGUUAAGCGACUAAGCGUACACGGUGGAUGCCCUGGCAGUCAGAGGCGAUGAAGGACGUGCUAAUCUGCGAAAAGCGCCGGCGAGGUGAUAUGAACCUUUGACCCGGCGAUGUCCGAAUGGGGAAACCCAGUGCAAUCCGUUGCACUAUCGUUAACUGAAUACAUAGGUUAACGAGGCGAACCGGGGGAACUGAAACAUCUAAGUACCCCGAGGAAAAGAAAUCAACCGAGAUUCCCCCAGUAGCGGCGAGCGAACGGGGAGCAGCCCGGAGUCUGAAUCAGCUUGUGUGUUAGUGGAACGGUCUGGAAAGUCCGACGGUACAGGGUGAUAGUCCCGUACACGAAAGCACACAUGCUGUGAACUCGAAGAGUAGGGCGGGACACGUGGUAUCCUGUCUGAAUAUGGGGGGACCAUCCUCCAAGGCUAAAUACUCCUGACUGACCGAUAGUGAACCAGUACCGUGAGGGAAAGGCGAAAAGAACCCCGGCGAGGGGAGUGAAAAAGAACCUGAAACCGUGUACGUACAAGCAGUGGGAGCCUCUUUAUGGGGUGACUGCGUACCUUUUGUAUAAUGGGUCAGCGACUUAUAUUCUGUAGCAAGGUUAACCGUAUAGGGGAGCCGAAGGGAAACCGAGUCUUAACUGGGCGUUAAGUUGCAGGGUAUAGACCCGAAACCCGGUGAUCUAGCCAUGGGCAGGUUGAAGGUUGGGUAACACUAACUGGAGGACCGAACCGACUAAUGUUGAAAAAUUAGCGGAUGACCUGUGGCUGGGGGUGAAAGGCCAAUCAAACCGGGAGAUAGCUGGUUCUCCCCGAAAGCUAUUUAGGUAGCGCCUCGUGAACUCAUCUUCGGGGGUAGAGCACUGUUUCGGCUAGGGGGCCAUCCCGGCUUACCAACCCGAUGCAAACUACGAAUACCGAAGAAUGUUAUCACGGGAGACACACGGCGGGUGCUAACGUCCGUCGUGAAGAGGGAAACAACCCAGACCGCCAGCUAAGGUCCCAAAGUCAUGGUUAAGUGGGAAACGAUGUGGGAAGGCACAGACAGCCAGGAUGUUGGCUUAGAAGCAGCCAUCAUUUAAAGAAAGCGUAAUAGCUCACUGGUCGAGUCGGCCUGCGCGGAAGAUGUAACGGGGCUAAACCAUGCACCGAAGCUGCGGCAGCGACACUAUGUGUUGUUGGGUAGGGGAGCGUUCUGUAAGCCGUUGAAGGUGUGCUGUGAGGCAUGCUGGAGGUAUCAGAAGUGCGAAUGCUGACAUAAGUAACGAUAAAGCGGGUGAAAAGCCCGCUCGCCGGAAGACCAAGGGUUCCUGUCCAACGUUAAUCGGGGCAGGGUGAGUCGACCCCUAAGGCGAGGCCGAAAGGCGUAGUCGAUGGGAAACAGGUUAAUAUUCCUGUACUUGGUGUUACUGCGAAGGGGGGACGGAGAAGGCUAUGUCAGCCGGGCGACGGUUGUCCCGGUUUAAGCAUGUAGGCGGAGGUUCCAGGUAAAUCCGGUACCUUUUAACGCUGAGGUGUGAUGACGAGGCACUACGGUGCUGAAGUGAUAAAUGCCCUGCUUCCAGGAAAAGCCUCUAAGCAUCAGGUAACACGAAAUCGUACCCCAAACCGACACAGGUGGUCAGGUAGAGAAUACCAAGGCGCUUGAGAGAACUCGGGUGAAGGAACUAGGCAAAAUGGUGCCGUAACUUCGGGAGAAGGCACGCUGAUGUGUAGGUGAAGCCCCUGCGGGCGGAGCUGAAAUCAGUCGAAGAUACCAGCUGGCUGCAACUGUUUAUUAAAAACACAGCACUGUGCAAACACGAAAGUGGACGUAUACGGUGUGACGCCUGCCCGGUGCCGGAAGGUUAAUUGAUGGGGUUAGCGGCAACGCGAAGCUCUUGAUCGAAGCCCCGGUAAACGGCGGCCGUAACUAUAACGGUCCUAAGGUAGCGAAAUUCCUUGUCGGGUAAGUUCCGACCUGCACGAAUGGCGUAAUGAUGGCCAGGCUGUCUCCACCCGAGACUCAGUGAAAUUGAACUCGCUGUGAAGAUGCAGUGUACCCGCGGCAAGACGGAAAGACCCCGUGAACCUUUACUAUAGCUUGACACUGAACACUGGUCCUUGAUGUGUAGGAUAGGUGGGAGGCUUUGAAGCGUGGACGCCAGUCUGCGUGGAGCCAACCUUGAAAUACCACCCUUUAAUGGCUGGUGUUCUAACGUGGACCCGUAAUCCGGGUUGCGGACAGUGUCUGGUGGGUAGUUUGACUGGGGCGGUCUCCUCCCAAAGAGUAACGGAGGAGCACGAAGGUUGGCUAAUCCUGGUCGGACAUCAGGAGGUUAGUGCAAUGGCAUAAGCCAGCUUGACUGCGAGCGUGACGGCGCGAGCAGGUGCGAAAGCAGGUCAUAGUGAUCCGGUGGUUCUGAAUGGAAGGGCCAUCGCUCAACGGAUAAAAGGUACUCCGGGGAUAACAGGCUGAUACCGCCCAAGAGUUCAUAUCGACGGCGGUGUUUGGCACCUCGAUGUCGGCUCAUCACAUCCUGGGGCUGAAGUAGGUCCCAAGGGUAUGGCUGUUCGCCAUUUAAAGUGGUACGCGAGCUGGGUUUAGAACGUCGUGAGACAGUUCGGUCCCUAUCUGCCGUGGGCGCUGGAGAAUUGAGGGGGGCUGCUCCUAGUACGAGAGGACCGGAGUGGACGCAUCACUGGUGUUCGGGUUGUCAUGCCAAUGGCACUGCCCGGUAGCUAAAUGCGGAAGAGAUAAGUGCUGAAAGCAUCUAAGCACGAAACUUGCCCCGAGAUGAGUUCUCCCUGAGACUUUAAGUCUCCUGAAGGAACGUUGAAGACGACGACGUUGAUAGGUCGGGUGUGUAAGCGCAGCGAUGCGUUGAGCUAACCGAUACUAAUGAACCGUGAGGCUUAACCUU